AUUUUUGGAUAAUCGCAUGGUAGAGAAUGGUUAAACAGCAUCUAUCAUGAGGAAAGUCCAUGCUAGCACCAGCUGUGAUGCUGGUAGUGUUUGUGCUAGGCGAACAAAUAAGCCUAGGGACGUUUUUGACGUUACGGCGGUCAAAAUAGCUACGUCUUUGGAUAUGCUAGAGUAGACCUGAAAGUGCCACAGUGACGAAGUUUUUAUGGAAACGUAAAAAAUGGAACGCGGUAAACCCCUCAAGCUAGCAACCCAAACUUUGGUCGGGGCAUGGGAUGGAUGGAAACGAACAAAAAUCCUGACUGCAAUUGCAGUAGACAGAUGAUUAUCGAAGGUGGUAGGACCUAGUAUCACCGGAACAAAACAUGGCUUAUAGAA
rnacentral:RNase_P_RNA from 1 species